UACGGAGGGGGCUAGCGUUGUCCGAAGUUACUGGGCGUAAAGCGCGCGUAGGCGGGUUGGUAAGUCCGCUGUGAAAGCCCGGAGCUCAACUCCGGAGGGUCGGUGGAUACUGCCAGUCUUGAAGGUGCUAGGGGGAGAUGGAAUUACCGGUGUAGCGGUAGAGAUGCGUAGAUAUCGGUAGGAACACCAGUGGCGAAGGCGGUCUCCUGGGGCAUUCUUGACGCUGAGGCGCGAAAGCUGGGGGAGCAAACGGG
rnacentral:rRNA from 1 species